rnacentral:rRNA from 1 species
UACGUAGGUGGCAAGCGUUGUCCGGAAUUAUUGGGCGUAAAGCGCGCGCAGGCGGUCCUUUAAGUCUGAUGUGAAAGCCCACGGCUCAACCGUGGAGGGUCAUUGGAAACUGGGGGGACUUGAGUGCAGGAGAGAAGAGUGGAAUUCCACGUGUAGCGGUGAAAUGCGUAGGAGUAUGGUGGAGACACCAGUGGCGAAGGCGACUCUUUGGCCUGUAACUGACGCUGGAGGCGCGAAAGCGUGGGGAGCAAACAGG